AUACGGUUAUUCCACAAGCUGAAUUUAUUGCAGCAUGGUGGACUAAAGCUUCAAAGCGGCAACAGUGGAAGCGCGAAGGCCUCCUAAACCAGAGCUGAUCCUCUCCUCCCAUUUCCAGGAAUUUACCUUCUUGAAAUCUAUGGUUUUCGUCUGAGAAGAGCGCUGCAAGCCGAUCCAGGUUUUCUUCUUUGAAGUUUCGUUUUCAGUGCGACCGGAUCCUGAGCUAGUUCGCGGAAGAUAGGUAUAGGAUAUCUUGGAACAAUGAGGGAAAUAUCUCUUUUGGAGAUUAUUACGGAUAAUCAAGGCGGCCGUGGAGAAUCAGUUCUUGCAUCGAUAAAAUUUGCGGUUAUACCAAUUGUGAAGGUUUUCACGAUGUGCUUUCUGGGGUUUCUGAUGUCUUCUAAGUAUGUCAACAUUCUAUCUGCAAAUGGUCGGAAACUUCUCAAUGGACUAGUUUUUUCACUUCUUCUUCCCUGUUUGAUAUUCUCACGGAAGAGCAAUC